UAAACACAGUGAAGUUAUUUUUUGCAUUUUUCUAUAUAUGAAAAAGAAAUCUGAAGCUCUUCCAGAGUUACAAAUGGCCUUUUGGCUCCAUCAGUUUGGUGGACGGACGUGAUUUGUGUGCAGUUGUUACCUGACGUCUGAAAGCAGCUGGUUGCUCUGGAUUUUGUUUAGUGGAAGCGGAGAAAAAAGGGGGUGGCAUACAGAUAACAAGCACAUAGAAGGGUCGUAACAUGAGAAAAUGUGUUGAGGUCCUAGAGGCAUGAGAUAGACUUUCAGACUGCAACCGAUUUUUUUCCUAUCCUUCCAGGAAGGAAAUACUAGAAACACAUUCACGUCCCGGUCCUGCCUUCAGACGUCGGAUCGGUUUUGCUUCACCUGACACGUGUGACGCCAAAGAGGCAUCGAGCUGCAGAUAAAAUCUACCUUUUCUUGCCACUAAAUGAGAACAUUACUUGUCACUUCCGUGGAGCUGCAUCCUUCGAGAUGAGCUGCGCGCUGGAGGAGAUGUUUCCCACCCACUCGGCAGUGUCGGAGGAUGAGAAGUCAUGCGGGCCGACAGAGAGAGGUGGAGGGCAGAGGAACGCGACGCUCCGCUGACAGCUGCAGCUCCUGCACCUCGACGAAGAAGUCCUGACGCUUCAGCACAUCAUUUAUUUGCUGCUAAUGAGCUGCCGUCAAAUUAGUGAUUACUGUCAGAAUUUAAUGAGUCUUAAUGAGUUAAUAGUCUUAGGAAAAAAAGUAUGUUAACACAAUUUGUUCCUUUGAGUGAUUUACUGUUCUGCGCAGCGGUUUUAACCCACCUUUAAUUUCUUAAUUAUUUUCUUCCAAGUAGAAGAACUUCCUCUUUAUCUUAAAAUGUUCUGCAGAUCUUUAGGGGCUCUGCAGACCAUUACAGGUUUUGCUCGGACUUCGGCUGCUGUAUUCUGUUCCUUUGGUACUUUGGUCAGGUUCAUCCCAAACGGUGAAUUUUAGUCUGCCUUUUCCACUCUAAACCCAGCUUUGAUGCGUGUUUGUCAUCAUGUUGGAACAUCUUGAUGGUGUGUCCAAGUUUCUGCCUCCUACUUGAUGAUUUGCAGGAAAAAUAAGGAACUUGGCGGCAUCUCUCCUUCAUUAUUCUAUUGACUUUGAGGUUUUUUUUGGGAGGGAAAAAACACACAGCAUGAUUCUACCAUAACCAUGCAUGUUGUUUGAAGUCCUCGUUUUGUCCCUACCCAACAUAUUUCUUAUCAUUGUGGUCAAACAGCUCAAUUUUUGUCUUGAUUGACCAUGAAAUAUUUUUGAAAAAGGCUACUCAACCCCCCAAAAAUAAAAGUGAAAACCGAAGUUGCUUCAGCCCACAGGUCCCAUCUAGAGGAAGUUUAAAUGAAAACAUUAAAAUUAUCGCUUGGUUAUCCCAACUGAUUCAUCCCAGCCGCCUUUCAAACACAUUUGGGUAGAUCUCUUUAUGUGGAUGUGGGAUCUUACUACUAAUCCACAAAACAAUUUAAGUUGCAUACCCAAUUCUAGUUUUUAAAAAA